UGCACCUGGAAGAACACACCUUGUCGAUGCCUAUACACUGGAAUCUUCUAAGGAUUCUGAGAAAGUGAUUAAUAAAGAUUCUGAGAAAGUGAUUAAUAAAAGUUCUGAAGAAUUGACUGGCCAAGGCAGGAAAGAAAAUGUUCAGAACCUGAAGGUUGUUGAGUUGGCCAUGCAGAGAUGGUCUGUAUAUCACAGUCGUCCAUUUCUUUUUGGAAUCUUGACGGAUGGAACAAUUCUUUGUUAUCAUGCCUACCUAUUUGAAGGUUCAGAAAAUGGUUCUAAAGUUGAGGAUUCUGUUUUUGGCACAAAAUUUUGUCGGCUUAAGCAAUAUUAAUGCUUCUAGGCUUAGGAAUUUGAGAUUUAUUCGUGUCCCGUGGAUGCAUACAUGAGGGAGGAGAUGUCAAAUUGAACCUUAUCCCAAAGGAUUACAAUUUUUAAGAAUAGUAGUGGUUCUCAAGGGUUCUUCCUCUCUGAGUCAAGACCAGGUUGGUUUAUUGUAUUCAGAGAACGGCUUCGAGUUCAUCCACAGCUAUGUGAUGGAUCUAUUGUUGCUUCCACUGUUCUUCAUAAUGCCAGCUGUAAUCAUGGGUUCAUAAAUGUUACAUUGCAGGGCAUUCUAAAGAUUUGCCGAAUGCCACCUGCAUCAAACGAUGACAAUUAUUGGCCAGUGCAAAAAAUUCCACUGAGGGGCACUCCACAUCAAGUGACUUACUUUGCUGAGAGGAAUCUUUACCCAAUUAUAGUUUCAGUUCCUGUAAAUAUAUGCUCUCUUCCUCUUCUUUUUUUCUUUUUGGUACGAUACCACUAUCUACAGUGCUUGUUAUUUAAACCUUUGCAAGCUAAUAUAGCCUACAUAUGAAUAGAACUGGCAUGCUGAUUGUGUCUUUUCUGGCCUCCAGUGAUUUGAAAAUGAACUUCCAUUGUUGACAACUAUUCAUUCUAUCGAACUCUGUGCU